AGGGAUAUAGUAUAACGGUAGUACAAUGGUCUCCAAAACCAUUGGUGUGGGUUCGAUUCCUACUAUCCCUG
rnacentral:tRNA from 1 species